rnacentral:tRNA from 1 species
AUGCUUGUAGCUUAAUUGGAUAUAGCGUCAGACUACGAAUCUGGAGGUUGGAAGUUCGAGUCUUUCCAAGCAUA